UACGAAGGGUGCAAGCGUUAUUCGGAAUCACUGGGCGUAAAGGGCGCGUAGGCGGUUUGUUAAGUCUGAUGUGAAAGCCCUGGGCUCAACCUGGGAAUUGCAUUGGAUACUGGCAGGCUAGAGUGCGGUAGAGGGUAGUGGAAUUCCCGGUGUAGCAGUGAAAUGCGUAGAGAUCGGGAGGAACACCAGUGGCGAAGGCGACUACCUGGACCGGCACUGACGCUGAGGCGCGAAAGCGUGGGGAGCAAACAGG
rnacentral:rRNA from 1 species